CGACAUCCUUUCAUAUAUGACUGGGAUUGAUUUAUCUUGCAACAACUUAACUGGUCAUAUCCCACCAGAAUUAGGGAACUUGAGUGAAAUCCAUUCUUUAAACCUUUCACACAAUAAGUUGACCGGAGUUAUACCCUCGUCAUUCUCAAAACUUCAUCAAAUUGAGAGUUUGGACCUUUCUUACAACAACUUGAGUGGUGAAAUCCCCAAUCAAUUGGUAGAGUUGAACUCUUUGGAGGUUUUCAGCGUGGCAUUUAACAACUUUUCAGGUAGUAUUCCCGAACCAAAAGCUCAAUUUGGGACCUUUAUUGAAAAUAGUUAUGAGGGAAAUCCGUUUCUUUGUGGAGUUAUAUUGCAUAAAAGUUGUUCCAAAACCGAUUCACCAUCAACGAUAUCAACUGUAUCAGAAGAUAAAUGAGAAGAUGGUUUGAUAGAUACUUAUGAUUUUUGUGUGAGCUUUUUGGUUUCUUAUGUAGUUGUGUUGUUGACAAUUUUUGUUGUCCUCUACAUAAAUCCAUAUUGGCGAAGAGCUUGGUUUUCUCUAGUUGGGAAAUGCAUUACCACCUGUCACUACUCAAAUGUGGGCAAUUCUUACUUAUCACAUUUUCAAGCGAUGUGUUUAGCUACUCAAAUUGCGAUUUGAUUUCCACACCUAAAUGUUUAAUUAUGCUAAGUUGAGCGAUAAUGAAUAUUUUGUUGAUUUUUGCAUUUUGAAUAAAAGCUCUUUUACCUUAUGGUUUUAUCAUUUUCAACCAACUAUUUCUUUUUUCUUCUAUGAAAUUUAAUGUAAAAUCAUAAUCCAUUAUUAUGUAUAUGUAAUAUCUCUUUAAAUUAAAUUAAAUUAAAUUAACUGCCAAGCGUUCACUAGUGCAUACUAAAAAGGAAAUCUAAUGUAAAAUUAAAUAACAUACUAGAAAAUUGAAUCUAAAACUGGAAUAUUUUAAAACCUCACAAAUAAUGCAAUUCUUUAUUCCUCUUUUCCUCUCAAGUUAUUUUGUAUCAUGUUAUAUUUUACAUAAUUAUUCGUAUCAUUGAAUUUUAAAAAAAAUUUAAUAUUUUGAUAUCAUGUUCAUAUUAUGCUUUAAUUCACAAUAUAUUUUGUAUAAUAUGUUAUAACAAUUCAAUUUAAAAAACAAGCAAUUAUCUUAUUUUUGCAUACCGUAAUAUACAUUUACAUGUUAAUAAUUCUUUGUACAUAAAUUUUGACAUGUUCGUAUAUUCGAGUCAUUAUAAUUUUAUUAUUUGUAAUAUGACAUGUUUUACUUACCCUUAAUAUUGUGUCAUGAUAAUUAUAACUCGAUUGGCAGUGUACCAAAUAUUUUUCUAAUAAAAAAUAGUAUUUUAUUCUAUUUACCAAAUCUUUAUCAACUUUAUAUUCUCACCAACAAAACAUACAUUCAAAGUUCAAAUAAGUUCCACACCCAUUUAUGCUCAUCAUCAGAAAGCUGAAAUAUUCCACUCUAAUUAACAUUAUGAUUCUGUAAACAACAAAAAAGUGUGAUCUUUUUUUAAAGCUCUUUUUUUUCUUUAAUGAAAUGGGAUUGGUAAAAAAUCCGCACAUGUGUCGUGUGUGAAGAAGGUCAGGUUGUCUAUUCAUUCUCUAAUAAGUAGCUAAUUAUAGUUGAUCCUACAAAAUCAAAAUUAAUUCAGGUAUCUAUAUAUUCUGAAGACUGGACAGACCUUAGAAGCUCCUUCAAAUUUGCAAGAACAUGUCGUGGUCCUAAACUCUUUACACCGAUGAAAUUCAAAAGUUGCUCUAUAUCCUGCAAUCACAGUAAAGAUUAUGCAAGCUUUUCAGAACGAAUAACAUAACAAGCAAAAGGCAAUCAAAAUACUGUGAUCUCGAUAAUGUUCUUUGCCGAAAAGGAACAUAAACAUAACCUGAAAACAUCAGUGAAGGCUCAUCAGAUUUGCUUAGCAACCUUACAUACACAUGUAAAAAGCUUUGCUUUUGGAUGUAAGGUGUGACUAUCAUCACAGUCUUUCCUAAUUAGCUGAUAACCCUAUAUCUAACAUUAAUCAUGGCUAAGCAAAUUAACAUACAUAAUGUAAAGGAAUUUGACUAUAAGAUCCAACAUAAAACUUAAUAAAAGAUAAUCAACAUAGAAAGUUAAAAGGCAAUGCAAACUUAUUACAAUGAUGCAAGUGGAUCAAAAGAAAGCACUCUAUAAGGAAUUUGCAUUUAAGGCAUUGUAAACAGAAAAAAAAAAUAAAACUUUUUGGAAAGUAUUUUCAAAGAGGAGACAAACAGGGUAGAAAAAAUGUUUGGUCCUUCCUUUUUCUAUUUCUACUGUGGUGAAAAAGCCUUUUUGGGUUAAAAGUGUUUUUACACUGCAGAAGUGUUUUUCCACUGCAGAAGUGACGAAGAACACAUAGCUUUUGUAGUCAAAAACCUACUGCUUUUGGCUUUUGCAUUUCGAAGUGAAAAUUAUAAAAAUACUCUUAGAUUAAUUUAUAUUUUAUAUAUUAUUAUAUUAAUUGUUUAAAUCUUAUUUAUUAUUAUAUUUAAUUUUUUUCAAAAUAUUUUAUAUAUCAUCAAUUUUAUAAAUAAUUUAAAUUAAUUACUUAAAAGGUAUUUAAAAGUUAUAUUUCAUGUAUCAUUAUAUUAAAUUAUUUAAAUAUCAUAUAACUUGACUAAUUUUUUUCUUUCUACCAUCAUGUCUAAAAAAGACAUUUUAACUUUCAACUGCAAUUUUUGGCAGCAAUGAACAACACUAAAAACUAACAAACACACUUUUCCGCACCACAUUUCAACAACACUUUUUUCUAAACGCACUUUUGAACUAGUCCUUAGUCUAUCAUGCAUCAACUCUUCAUUUUUCUUUAACUACCCAUGUCCGACUUCGAACAUGGAUAUGGAGAUAUGACCAAGUCACAGUGACAUAGUUUUUAGUUAUGGGGAAUGGGAUUCGAGUGCUGGACCUCCUUUUAGAUGCAUGGUGGGACUUCAUCACAUUUUUCAAAUUUGUUGAUAAUCCUUCACCUAAUCUGCCGGUGAAGUUUAUAGAUAGUCUUAAGUGUCUAUCACAAGAACCUAGAUAUUGUAAAUCCAAUAUCUUCCAAACAAUUCAACCAUGAUAUUAAUGAUGAUGGAAGCAAGAUUAUCCACUAUCAAUGACAUAAAAUGAGCUGUAAAUGCUGACGAACAAACAUGCACUGUUUUUCCAACCUGUGGAUUGAAGAGCAUUGACAAGCUAACUUUGCAGACCAUUUGAAUCCAAUACUAUACAUAAAAAUGCCAAAGGAGAAUAAUUCAUCUUGGAAAAAGAAUUACUAAUAUGCAAAAGCUUACCUUGUUUAACAAGAAAACAGCAUAUGCUGCUCUUGUCGUGUCUUGACCUUCUAAAAACAGCGGAAAUUCUGCCAGCUUUACAUUUGCUGAAAGUGUUGUAUCCAAUGACAAAUCAGAAGAUGCAGGGUCUAUUGAAGACGCAUGGUCAUUAAUAUAUGAGCGAGAACCACCCAAGCGCAGAGGAUAACGCAAGGGAACUUGUAAAUAGGAUGCAAUUAGUGAAACAGCCUGCAAAUGAUGAAAUAACAGGAAACAAGAAACAAUAAUAGGUAUGAUUAAAAUUAUAGCCUCAGCAUGAGAAACAAACAAUCAAGAUGCAACCCACUAUACCAUAUUACCAUCCUAGCAAUUAAAAAUUACUACAGCAUCUUCAAGCAACAAGGGAUUGUAGGUGGUAGGUCAAAAAACUUGAUAUCCACAGCUUGAUAUUAUCAGAAAAAACAAAUUCAGUAAUAAAUGAUAACUUCACAGAAGAAAUAGAACGCACAUGUGCAACAUAUCCCAAGGCAGUUGCAGAUCUCUGAACCUCCUUUUUGUCAGUGAAAAAACUCAUCUUUGUAAAAGGAAGCAAGGUGAGAUUCAGACCUAAAAUUGUCAACGAUCCUUGAUUGACGGGCUUUGAUGCAGAAGGAUUCCCUAUUGAAGACAGGAACAAAGGAACUUCAUAUCAGUACAUCACCAGACACCACCUCUUUGUGAAAGUCAAAAGAAAAUUCAAAAAAAUAUCAUCAUGAAAGUAAGAGAUAUGUAAAAAGCUCAUAAUAUUCAAGAGCAAAAAAAAAUUGUUUUGAUAUGAGGAGAAUUGAAUAGUAGAUUGCUAAAAGAGGAAUAACUGAAUACAACCAUUAUAACCAAAAGAAGAGUCAAGUGAUAGGUAAUGGUACUCCCUAAGCUGUUUAGGAAUCAUAAAAGACUUGUCCAGUCGACAAAAAUAACUCAUUUUAUUCUCCCCUAGUAAAACAUCAUAUUGGACCAACCAUAUUUGAUAUCAAAGGAUAUGCAUAUCCAGGCAUGCCAUUUAUAGAUAUUCCCAGUGUUACAAGAAGGAAUUGUUCAAGAGAAAGAAGCUGCUAUUGUUGGUAAAGUUUUCCUCAAACCAUUUUGAACAUCCAAAAUCUCAAGAACAAAAAAGAAAACGUAGGAGGAAAUAUAACAAGCAUCACAACGGGUUCUCGAUGAUAUAAGUGAGAGGAUAAAUGUUAAUUAAGAUUAUAAAAAUAAACCACAAACUAAACAGGAAAGACAUGGAUUUCAAAACGAGGAGACUGGCUGCUAAUUAAAACCAUAUGCGGCGUUGUCUAGGGCGCAAGGCACAUUCUAGGUGCUAACCUUUAUAUUGCCUCAAGCACAAGGCACAAAAGGAAGCGCUAGCCUGAGUGCAGUAAAGCGCAAUACGUAUAUGUGAGAGUUUUUGCAAGUCUGUGUGUCUAUAACAUAAAAGUUUUAAGAUAUAUGGUAAACUCUAAAGUGUGGUCUGGUUUAUCCACAAAACUUGCAAAAUUUUUAUAGGUGAAUACUUAAAUAUUGAGAAUUAUAGAGUUUGAUAUUAUCCCUUUCUUAUUAGUAAAGGUGUAUCAAAUGAAAACAGUAGAAAAUAAAAUAAAAUAUUGAGAAAUUCAACAAGGCAGGCUUUUUCUAAUGCCCAUUGCCUUACAAAAAAAGUGUGCCUAGGUGCACCAGGCAUACGCUUGAUCAAAUGGACCUCACCUGGAAGGGUCCAAGGCGUUUUGUUGUAUAAAACUAAGGCGUAGGCACGCCUAGGCGCAUGCCUUGACAACACUGACCAUAUGUUGGCUUUAUUGCAAAGCAUUAGCAAUCCAAAACUACUAGCACAUUACCUAAUCUACUACUGCUAGAAUAGGACUCAAGUUCUUGCUCCUGUGCAGGUCCAACCAAGAUCUUUACAGGAUACAAUAAUGAAACUUGUGAUAUCAUAUAUUGUUGCCUUGCUCGAAGCUUCCUUUGCACAUUUUUAAGUUUAACACAACCCCUUUCUUCAGUGAGUAAUCUAUUUGCUUCCUGUGAUAAAAACAACAUAUAAUCAAUCAUGCCACGCAUGCAAGACUACCAACCAACUAUCUAAUAAAAGAGACAAAGAAGUAGGAGAGCAAGAAGGGGAUAACCCUUGACUAUGCAAAGGAAUUCAUAGAAUGAGAAUCAUCUCAUCUAAGCCCCUCAACCACCUUCACAGGGGGUGGAGGUGCAAAGAGAGAGGUCUUAUUGAUCCGAGAGGAGAAUAUAUAACAUCUAAAGCUGAAUAAGAAGAAACCUUCAAAUAUAUCAUAAAUUCAGAAUUCAUGAUAAUAUAAAAAUGAAAUUCCAAAGCUAAUUUAAGCUAGAAUAAAAAUGCUUCACCUGUAAUCGCUUCCUUGCUACAGAAAGAGAGGUACCAGCAACCAACAAUGAUCUUACUUCAGUACUCAGCAUUUCCUCCUGUUUUUUAGCAUCCUCUGUUGCAACUUUGCAACGAGUUGACAUGUUUGCCAUAACUACUUUCCUUGCCUCUAGUCUCUCACGCAUUUCCUCAAGCUCGUUCAGUUUAUUCAAAGACUCAUUUUUUACCUGCACAGCAUGUUCCCACCCAUUAAUCAGUGGGCCAAUUAAUUAGGUCACAGAAGACAAAACUAAAUUAUCACUCACCAGGUCCCCUUGAAGUGUCAUAUGGCUUUAACAAUUCAACGUGCAAUAUCUAGUAAAAGUGAAAUAAACAUAGAAGAAUGCAAAUGCAAUUCUUAAACGCCUUUAAAUGGACAACAUGAAACAGUUUAAGAGCCCUAUAAAACAGAAAAGUGGAAAAAAAAUCUGAAAAGGAAAAAAAAUGAAUUGAAACAAUAAAUCCAUCUGGUACAAACAGCAACAAAUCUCGAAAUAAGCCUUGGCUUUAGCCCAUUAAAGCCCGGGCAUCCGGCCGAAUAAACAGUGACUGCCAUGUCAACUUUUUGAGACGGUAGAAAAGAGCUCAAAAAUCUCAAUUUCCAAAAUUAAGGACAUAAGAAGGAAAACAAUGUACUUAUUCUUACAGUAGAAGAGCAAAAUGAAACUAAAUGAAGGAUAAGGGAACUGAUGCGAAUUGACAUUGUUAUUUUUGGGACUAAAAAGAAUACGCAGAUUGAAUAUUUAAGAUUUUGUAAGGGAAAAGUUCCAUUCACCAACACAAUUAUCAUCGCCCUUUAUCCCAGUAAAGCUUAAUUGACAAUUUUUCUGUCUCGUGUUCUUGCUAAAGCAUUUGAGCAACCCAACAGAAAUCAUUAUAUGUCAAACUGAAAUGAUUGGCUUUAUCAAUUUCACAACCUAUACUGCCCAACCUAGUAAGUAAUUUAGGUGCAGACACCAGAAAUCUAUUUUCUUUGCACUCUACAACCAAAUAGCCUACCACUUAUCAAUCAAACACAGCUGAAAACUUCAGUGAGGAAACAUUAUGUAAACUGAAAAAACUAUAACUUCAACUUGAUUCAUAGCUCGGUAAGUUCAGGGAACUUGGACUUCUACCACCAUGAUCCAGUUCGAUGUGAAACAGUGAUCCAUAUCACGCAUAUCAGUUCCCGCAACAAGAGGUAAAACAGCAAAUUAGGUAAACAAUGAUCCAACUAUAUUUCAGAAUAGCAACAUUGAGCAUGAAAGCUAAAAUUAUAGCAUAUUAUGGGUCCUUGCUCCCUACAACUACAUAUAAAAUUACUAAACAAUAUUACUACAUUAAGGAUCCAGAAAAACUUGGUUUCAAUUGUUGAUCACUUGAUCCAACUAUUUUAGAAAGUUUAUUCUUCUUUUUCCUUUCCCUUAUUUUCUAAAUCAGGAAAAACAGUAGCAUAUAAACUGGAUUACUACUCCAAUUAAGUUUCUAAAAUUUCAGCAAUAUCCCUUUAACCUUUUCACUCAAGUCACUACCCCCCCCCCCCAAUUAACAAAUAUAUUCCCAGUUUCCCUUUCACUUCAAACCCCCCCCCUUUUUUUUUUCUCUACCCAAAUUCAGCUUACGUUCAAAAACCCAAAAUUGGUUUGCUAAAAAAACAUAAUUUUCAAACCCAAAGGUAACCUAAUUUUAAUCAGAAAAAAAAAAGAAGCAUUACCUGAAUUAGUGAAUGGAGUUUCUCUUGAAGACUUUAUUUUAAAAUUAUCUUAUACUAUUUGCUUUAAAUCGAUUUUUAUUAGUUAUUUGAAACUCGUUUUCAUGUACUAUUUAUUUUUUUAUCACUUAUUUAAAUUGUUUUACAUAUCUAUUUUUUAAACCCUAUUUUAUUAUAUUUUACUUAUUUUAACUUUUUUACAUAUUUCAUUAUAAAUAUUAUUAAUUAUCUAUAUUGAGUUUUUCAUUUAUGUAUUACUUAUUUAGAUAAAUAUAUACUAUUUUGUGUAUUACUUAUUUUGAUUUUCUUCUUAUACAAUAUUACUUUAAAAUUCAUUUAGAUAUUAUUAUUUCACAUAGUAUUUAUUUUUAUCUUCAUUUUUGAUCUAUUUCAAACUCAUAUAUAUUGUUUAUUUUGAAAUUUUAUGCACAUGAUUUAUUGUUUAUAUUGAUGAUUUUAAAUUUCCUUUCUUGUAUUUUUAUUUAUUUAUUUUAAAACUUGUUAUACUUUAUUUGUGUUAAUUUGCUUAGUUUUUCUUUCAAAAUUAACUUAUAAUUCAUUAGCUUUUAAUGUUAGUAUUUGCAUAAUAUGUGAUAUAAGAUUAUUGCUCUCAUGUAUUGCUUAUCUGUAUAUAUUGAUUAUUUGUCAUUCAUUAGUAUAUAUUUUGUUUUACGAAUUAUCACUUCUCGCGUUGUACAUUAUCAUUUCCAUCGCGUUUUAUUUGCUCAAAAAUUAUGUUUAAUAUGGCUUAAGUUUUGAAAUCAUUUUAUCCAAAAGCUUCCAAUAUAGCAUAACACUCGGUGUUUGGGAUUUUUGAAAAGAUCGUACUCUAACUUACGAGGUCUCGAUUUUUUGAUAAUUUCAAAUAUACGAACCUUUUUAAAAAAAAAAACAAGACACAUUUACUUAAAAAUUAUCUCAAGAAUCAAAAAAAGAUCGUGUCCCAACUUACCGGAUAUGAUUUAUUAUCUGAAACCGAUAUGAUCAAGAUUUUUAAAAAUAAAUAAAUUUUGGUGUUUAUUCUCGUUUCGGGAUUUAAGAUAUUGUGUCCUAACUCACGGGAUAUAAUUUUUUUCUCGAUUAACGAGAAAUACACCCUUCUUUAAAUUUUAACAAAAUGGUCAUUUUUUUAAAUUUCUUUUCGAAAUUUUAAUUUUUCGACAUUAAGACAUUAAUUAAUCGAUUAGGUACUAAUUUUGGGCAUGACGGGGUGCUAAUCCUUCCUCGCAUGUAACUGACUCUCGAACCCGUUUUUCUUAAAUUCCAUUGACCAAAAUCAUUGUUUUAAUAAAAUCAAAAUGUUUUAUCAAAACGAUUGAAUUGCAAGGUGAUCCAAUCACACAUAAAAAAAAUGUCGGUAGCGACUCCCUUUUUUUCAUUUUCAAAAUAAAAGUCAACACUAUUUUUGUUUUCAAAAAGUGGUUUCGACAAAAUUGUUUAAAUCUUACUUAUUAUUAUAUUUAAUUGUUUUUCAAAAUAUUUUAUAUAUCAUCAAUUUUACAAAUAAUUUAUAUUAAUUACUUAAAAGGUAUUUAAAAGUUAUAUUUCAUGUAUCAUUAUAUUAAAUUAUUUAAAUAUCAUAUAACUUGACUAAUUUUUUAAUUUCUACUAUCAUGUUUAAAAAGAACAUUUUAACUUUCAACUGCGAUUUUUAGUAGCAAUGAACAACACUAAAAACUAACAAACACACUUUUCAGCACCCCUUUUCAACAACACUUUUUUCUUAAAGUACUUUUGAACUAGUCCUUAGUCUAUCAUGCAUCGACUCUUCAUUUUUCUUUAACUACCCAUGUCCGACUUCAAACAUGGAUAUGGAGAUAUGACCAAGUCAGAGUGACAUAGUUUUUAGUUAUGGGGAAAAGGAUUCGAGUGUUGGACCUCCUUUUAGAUGCAUAGUGGGACUUUCAUCACAUUUUUCAAAUUUGUUGAUAAUCCUUCAUCUAAUCUGCCGGUGAAGUUUAUAGAUGGUCCUAAGUGUCUAUCACAAGAACCUAGAUAUUGUAAAUCCAAUAUCUUCCAAACAAUUCAACCAUGAUAUUAUUAAUAAUGAUGAAAGCAAGAUUAUCCACUAUCAAUGACAUAAAAUGAGCUGUAAAUGCUGACGAACAAACAUGCACUGUUUUUCCAACCUGUGGAUUGAAGAGCAUUGACAAGCUAACUUUGCAGACCAUUUGAAUCCAAUAAUAUACAUAAAAAUGCCAAAGGAGAAUAAUUCAUCUUGGAAAAAGAAUUACUAAUAUGCAAAAGCUUACCUUGUUUAACAAGAACACAGCAUAUACUGCUCUUGUCGUGUCUUGACCUUCUAAAAACAGCGGAAAUUCUGCCGGCUUUACAUUUGCUGAAACUGUUGUAUCCAAUGACAAAUCAGAAGAUGCAGGGUCUAUUGAAGCUGCAUGGUCAUUAAUAUAUGAGCGAGAACCACCCAAGCGCAGAAGAUAGCGCAAGGGAACUUGUAAAUAGGAUGCAAUUAGUGAAACAGCCUGCAAAUGAUGAAAUAGCAGGACAUUAGAAACAAUAAUAGGUAUGAUAAAAUUAUAGCCUAAGCAUGAGAAACAAACAAUCAAGAUGCAGCCCACUAUACCAUAUUACCAUCCUAGCAAUACCUGCAAAACUUUCAUCAAAACGGUAAUAACACUUUUGGACAAUGUGUCCUAUUUUACCACACAACUGGCAUUGGGGCCGAUUGUUUGAAAAACCACCCUCACGGCCUCAUCCUCGAUGGAAACCUCUAUUGCAUUGAAAACCACCUCUAUGUGCCUGUUUGUUCCCUUGAUAGCCACUGUUAUAAUCAUAACACUUGGUCCGAUCACCCUCAUCACAAUCUUGUUUACUAGCUAUGUUAGCUUGUUCGAGAACACUAUUCAAGAACUCAAGUUCUCGAGCUUCACAAUCAAGCAGCAUCUCAAUCAACAGACCAAGCGACACAGCAGUAGCUGAAGCUACUACCCGUACUGAUUCACACUCAACUGGCAACCUUGCAAGAAUGAUGCUAACCAUUUCUUGAUUUGAAAUCAAACAACUCGUUGCAACCAACAUAUCACACAUGGACUUGAUCUUAGACAAAUAUUCUUUAACAAACAGAUGACCCUUUUUCUGUGAAUACAACACAUGAUGCAUACUGGACAAUUUUACCGUCGACUUAGUCGCAAGCCUUUUUUUCAAUAGUUUCCCAAAUAUAAUAACUAGUACGAGCACUAGUAAGAUAGGCUAGAAUUUCAUCACUAUCAGUUGAAAGUAACCAAGAAGCCAAUAGCUUAUCUUGUUGCACAUGUAAAACAGAAUCAGAAUCUUCUACUAAUCUCCCAUAUUUAUCCACUACAAACUGUGCUAGUACACUAAUAGCACCCAAAACAAACUCAUGCAGACCGUAUCAUUCAAGGAUCAACAUAAUUUGGAGCUUCCAUAAAACAAAAUUAUACUCACCAAGCUUUAUUGUAUCGUGCUUAGGAAAUUGUUGAAGACAUCUACAACUGUUGAGGUGGGUUUUCUUUAAACAUACUCAUUCCAACAAAAAAAAAAUCUACGUUAGUAUGAUUAAUUAGAAAGUGAUUAAUUCAUUAUUUAGUUAGAAGUGAUGGCCUUAAGAAAAAAAAUGACAUUAUUUUAUUUGGCAUUGUUAAAAGUGUUAGUUACUGAAAUAAUUAAUGAGAUUAUAAAAGUGAAAGAAUCAAAUUAUGUCAAAAGUAAAGUAGAGGGUUUUAAUCCUAAAUUUGGGUAUAAUAAAGGGACUAACACCAAAUAAUUAUAAAAUUUUCAAAUAUUUUAAAAUUAAUUUUAAAUAUUAAUUAAAUACAAAUUAUAAAAAAAUAAAAUAAAAAUCCCCAGCGCAGUGAGGGACAUAUUCGAUAUCAAUAAUUAUAAAAUCUGUAGUUGUAAUAUUUAAUUGAUAUAAUAUAUAAAAUUUGAGGGUUAAAUUUGUUAUUAUACAAUUUUUUUAACUGCCGUGUCACUUUGCAAUUUUUUAUUUUAAGGAGUCAUCAAAAUAACUAAACUAUGUAAUGUGAGUGCUUAAAUUACAAAAUUUUUACUUUAAUGUGAGUGCUUAAAUUACAAAAUUUUUACUUUAAGUGUUUAAAUUUUUAAAAAAAAUUAUAAUUAAAUAACAAUCUAUAUGUAGUUUGCCCAAAAAUUUUAUAACCCAAACUACACAAUUUUAUGGCCAUCUCCCACUUUUGAUAUCUCUUUGGCCAUUAGUUAAGAUGGGAGGGGAAUGACUUAUUCAAGAUUAGUGUCAACAUUAGAUUUAAAACCUACGGAAGUCAUGUUUCAAUUUUUUUAUAUAAUAAUAUAACAUUUAAAAUUAUAUUAUAUCUAUAAAAGAACUCAUUGGAUUAGGGUUUUUUUUUUUAAUUAACUUUCCAUUUGUUAUUAGAAAACAAAACUAAAAAUGCAUCAAACAGGGCUCUGAUAAAAAAUUAAAAAAAAACCAAAAUGUUUAGGUUUGGUAUCGUUUUACUUUUACUUUAAAAUCAGUCUAAUCUGUAUCAUGCUCACACCAAACAUAUGAAGAAAAAAAAAAGUGAAAUAGUAAGGAUAUUAUUAAUUUCAUUCCAAGACAAAUUUUAGCAUACCCAAUUAGGUCCUUGGGUUAAUCUUAUGUUUUUUGUUUAGGCAUUCAGCAUUCUUGGCGUUUAGUUUAGUUAGAAUUUUAAAUUAUGAUAGAUCUGAAACUUUGGUAUUUUUGUGCAAAACUCAACCUCAAAGCUUUAUUUGUUGUCUAAAUUAUUUUAUUGAAGCCUAGGAAUUGUUGUUAUUGUUUCGGCUAAUUGACCUUAAAGCAUCAAAUGCCUUUUUUUGGAUGGUCAUAUUCCUUCCAAGGGCUGAAUUACUAAAAGCCCAUGAAGUAUCCUUCUUUUUCUUAAGUGAGCCUCUGUUUCAAUGCCGCCAAAAUUUUCUUUAUCCACAUGGAAGCUGACCUGCCAUGAUGAUGUGGUAAAAAAAUGAACAAUUUGUAUUUUUUGAAAAAUAUAACACUUAAGAACUUUCUUUCUUCUUGCCUCCCAAUUCUCACCACCAAUUCCUUAGCCCAAAUCAGUUUUGGCCUCCGACAUUGAUCAUAACAAAAGUAAACUUUCUAUUAGAAAUAAUUUCUUUUAUGUACAAAUUAAAGGGUAAGAUAUUGUUUGGGUACAAAAAAAGCAUAUGAGCUUACUUUAGAAAAGUGACAACGUUGGGCUCUUUUAGUAUUCUAUCCUCCCACCAACUUUGUCCAAUGUUUUUUGCCUUAUCACCAGACAGUAAAAGGGCCUUUGACCUUUUCAGGCUAAGCGCUGCCUGGUGCAUGUAGGGGGAAAAGGCCUUCUAAUUGAAGUUCUCUUUAAUAUCUCUUUAAUUGUUUCUUAAUUGUAACAAAGGGAUAAUAUCGAACUCUCUAUUUCUCAAUAUUUGAGUAUUCAACACCAGGCAUGGGAUCAUAUGGAAAUAUGCAUAUGGUUGACAAAAGAAAGAAAAUUUGGAAAUGUUUAUUUAAGUAGUAACUGCUGGUUUUCUUGGAUGCUUUCUUGUUAAUGACUACUGUUUGGGCAUGUUUAUUUAAGAAUUGCCCCCAAGUAGUUUCUUGAAUCAUCUAAAAUUGGAAAAAAUAGUCUUAUGGUAACUCAUUAAAGUAUUUGAAAGUAUGCACAAGCUAAUAACAUUUUAGAAAUUAAAAUUGAAGAUCGGUUUUUAGGGUAUCAUGUCCAUAUUAAGCAUCAUCUUUCCAGAUUACUGUUCUCUCUCUCUCUCCCUCUCUGUGUGAUAUAUUUCUCAAGUGAAAGGUAACCUUCUUCACUUGAUUUUGACUUAAUUUUGCAGUCACCACGAUUGUAUAAUGUGUACAAGCAAAUGGGAAUUGUAAAAUCUUUUCAGAAUAUUCUGGACAAUGUUUUCAUUCCACUAUUUGAAGUUACAGUUGAUCCGAAUUCUCAUCCUCAACUACACGUGUUCCUAAAAAUGGUGAGUUCUAUGUUCAUCGGAGAACAUACUGUGCUAUAAUAAGAGAUUUCGGAAAAUAUAGUUAAAAAAUGCUUCUUUAUUGGAAUGACCUGCAUUAUAGCAAGCUGAAUAAAUGAUGCCUUAACUUUAUUCAUUGUGUUCUCAUAAUUCUUUAAAACCAUUCGAAAAUUCUAUUGAGCCACAUUAUAUGGUUAAUUUUUGGGUCUGUACUGCAUACUGAACAUGUGUACAUCCUUGCGAUUUUAGAUGGAUGGAGUUGGACAGCAAAGCAAUUGAAAAAAACCCAAUUUAUGGUUUCUAAAUGUUAGAUCAUUUAUGGUUUCUAGUUUCAAUUUAAAAAAAAAAAAUCCAAAUCAGCCAACUAAUGAAAUUUUCAACGAUGUUAGUUAUUUUAACUAAUCCAUAACAUGUUUGCUUCUUCUUCUUUUUUUUAGCCUAGCAGCAAUGUUAGCCUCUGGACUAGUUACCGCCCUCCUUUUUCCCCUCCCUAUUAACCCUUUUUAUUUUUCUUCUCAUUCACUCCAUGAGUCUUCGUUCUUUUCAGUUUACAGAUUUAUUUUGUGAGUAUUUUUGUUGUCUUUACAAGUUGUAAUGGACAGUUGACAAUGGCUAUCAUCAUUGAAACACCACCGACCACCAACACUUUCUUUUAGAAAGUGGGUACCUCUUCGUUGACUACUUAAUUUGUUUAUAUUUUGAGAGUUUCAAAAUAAUAAAUGAUUUCAUGACUCGGUUUAGACUCAUGUUUUUUUUCCAUUGUUCAAUAAGUUUUUACUUUUAAAAGUUUUUUUCUACUCUUAUAGUAAGCUUUUUAGUCUUGCUUUUGCGAGUAAUUUUAGGGUUGGUUUUGUCGCCAUCCCCUCUAGUUUGGUGGAUGCUCAGUUCUUUUGCUGAUUUAUGCCCGCCGCUUUGGACCAUCCGGGGUUGAUUUUCUUACUAUAUUAAGUGCUUGUAAUCACUUCUGAUAUGUUGUGCUUGAGUUGUGAUAGAGCUGAUUUCAACAUGCCAUAAUGUUCUAUUAAUGUUGAAGCUAAAGCUUUUGUUAUAUUGAUGGAGCUUGUCCUUUAGCGAGUACAACAAGUGUUUGUUAUUUCCUCCCCCCCCCCGAAUUGUAUGGUAUUAUUCAUUGAAUAAAUUAAUGAAGUUGUCUUAAAAAAAACUAAUCCAUAACAUUAACAUUAAUAAGAGAACAAAAUAUAUCAAAUUAAAAAAGAAAAACUGAAUCUUUAAUUCAAUUGAGAAAUUAUAGGGAUUAAAACUAUAAAUUGAUCUAUAAUAAUUUCUCAGGCAUUAAUUGUAAGAUUAAUUCCAUAACCUAAAUUAUUGUAGGGGCUAUAUAAGCUCAAGGUUGACGCAAAAGUCAAUAGUCAGCGUCUGAAAGUUAAUGCAAUUAAUUAUGUCAUUGUUGAUAUAUUUAACGCAAAUAUAUUAUCAUAUGUGUAAUGUCAUACCAUCUUAUUAUUUCCAUAUGUUACUAAAAAUCUAGUUAACGGACUAAGGAUUGUCAUUUGUAUCAAGACUGAAAUUUUAAAUUUUGAAAAAUAUAGGUACUUAGAAUAAUCCAAUUAGAGAGUAUGGACUAAAUCAACAAUUAUACGCAUAAUAUAGGACUAGUAAUUGGUUUUAAUUAAAUUGAUUUAACUCUAUUGUUUGGAUCACAACUAAAAUUUUAAAAUUCAAAAUGUAUAGGGAUUAAAAUUGAUCAAAUUGAAGUAAAUAGACUAAAUUUACAACUUUCACAAAGAACAGUGACCAACAGCAGAAUUUAACCAAAUAAGCUCACCAAAGUCAAUAGUCAAUCUUUGAAAAGUAAUGCAAUUAAUUAUGUCAUUGUAGGAACGCUUUCCUGACAUAAAAUUCCACCAACUAAGCCUUUUGCGUAAAUAUUAGCUAUGAAAAUUCAACCAUUGAUAUUAAAUUCAAGACCCCACAAAUGACAGACAUAUAUGUUGGAAAAAUCUUUGUGUGAACAUUUCUUUCGGUCAUACUCAUGUCGUAUAAGUUAGAGGAGCACAAGUCUAGAUUCAUCCAAUUUUUGAGGAAUUAAUUAAUUAUAUAUUAGUUUAAAAUUAUAGUGAAUUAGUGAGACGCCAUAGGUCUUGCUUGCAUAUAAAUAAGAAGCUUAGGCUUCUUCAGAUUAUUUACAUAUAAAAGUUUAAAAAGUAACAUAUAGCUAAGAGAGAAGAGGAAAACAGAAAGAUGAUGAUGAUAAUGAUGGAGUGGAAAUGGUUAUGGUUUAUAAGGAUGGCAGUAAUGUUGUUGGUGUUAGAAGGGUGCAGGUGGUGUACUGCUGAUGCUUGUUUGGAGCAUGAGUCGCCUUCUUGCAUCUCAAACCUUUCUUCAAUUAUGAUAAUCAAUUGAAAAGUUGGAUUGAGGUGAAGGGUUCAGAUUGUUGUAAAUGGAAAAGAGUUGAGUGCAACACCAUCACUAGGAGAGUCAUACAACUCUCCCUUAAUCAUACAUCAUCCAAUAUAUAAAUGAAUUAAUGAAUUUACCUUUCAAAAGAGAAAAAAAGAAUUCAUAAAUUUUGAAAUACAAAAUGAACGUGUUUUGAUAUUUUUAGGGCAAUGGUUUAGUGGUUCAAAAUUUUGAUUUAAUAUGGUGAAUUUAAUUAUAAUUUUUUAUAUAUUAGAUAGUAGAAUAUAUUUUACCAUUUAUAAUUAAGUACAAUUAAGUUUAGGUUAAAAUAUUUUAUUAAAUUUUUGUACUUUUCACAAAUUUUAAAUUUAAUCUGUUUACUUUUAUUCUAGAAUUUAAUCUCUCUGCAUGUAAAGGAGGUUAUUAUGGCAAGGGGAAUUACCAUGGCAGAGGUAGCCGAGGCUGACGAAGAGAUGCUGGAUAUGCUGAAGAAAGAUAGAUGGCUGAGAAACAGAAAAACUUUAGGAACAAUAUUCAGUGUUAGAAGUAUGGGGAUGUGAAGGCAGAUUGUUGGAAAAGGGGAAACAAGCAAAUUUUGCGGAAGAUGAUGAAGAGAUUUAAAUUAUUUAUGAGCUGUCUAGAUGACACUAUAGCUUCAACUAACAUUUGGUUUCAAGGGCGUAUAUCUCAUGAUGAAGAGAUCGUCUCUCUUCUUUUUUCUCAUAACAUAUUACACGCCAUGAUAAUAAAUAUUGAUAUGCCUAUAAAUUUGAGUUUCUAUUAUUUGUAGUCAUGAUUUGGUUCACUCCAUAAGUUACAUAAAUUUAUUAUAAUAAUUCAAUUAAUUUUAGAUUAAUUUUACAUUUUUGCCCGAACUUUAGUUUUUAAUAAUUCAAUCAUCCCACCAUUAUAUUCAAUUAAAAGUGUAAUACGAUUUUGCGUCAUCCAACCAUUAUUCUUAGUGUAAUUUUUGGUAGUGAGCAUAGAAGGACAGCGAGAACAAAGAAAGAAUGUAUCCAAUAACCCACUCCCCUUAUAGUCAAUGCUUAAAAUGAAUAAGAAAAUAGAAAACAAACGUGGCAAUGCCAGCUAAUUUGUUAUUACUAUUCACCGUAUAACUAAGGACAUUACGCACCGUUUUAAUUAAAACAAACUCACCGUUUAAGACCGUUACUUCUAUGCAUCGUUUUAAUCAUAUGCGUCAGUUCGAACAAAUAGGUGAACAUGAAAGCUUUUCGCAAAGUUUAGAUGUGUGCUUAAAACUCAAACUUUGUGUUCUGUAAAAAUAUUGAUUUUGUUGUAAUUGUAGGUUGAACUUUGUGAGUCCAAUUACUUUCUUUGGCAUCGGAUAUUUCGUGGAACUUUCGUAUGAGAUAUUUACUUCAUAAAUAGAAGAUUACAAAAUUUGGAUAUUAAUAUAUUUUUCAUGAUUUAAUUUUCUUUUCCUUUUUUGGGCUAAAAUAAUUAAUAACGAAAACACGUCUUUUGCUAGCACCUAUAAAUGCCUUAAAAAUGUAAAUUAAUAUUCCACAAUAAUUAUUAAGAUGAAAAGAAUUUUAUAAUCUAAACUUACGAUUUCAUGUGAAUUUAAUGUUUAGUUAUAGUUUUAAUUACAAAGUUAAAUUGGUAUCUUUGUUAUUGCAAUAAUUAAAAAAAGAUGAGUCCAAAUGACGUUGAUUUUCUGUUUUUUAAAAGUGAAUGCAAGAUGGGACGGCUGGAAUUUUUUUUAUUAAACAGUAAGUAUGAAACAGUUAUGGUAAUUGCUUGCUCCAUCUCACUCCACUCCACUAUAUAAAAUUAUCAUUUCAUUCUUUUAUAUAUAGAAAAAAAUUAAAUAUUUUAUGAAAAUAAUCAUGUUUAAAUUUCCAAGAAUAAAAGCAAACUGAAGACUUAAAAUUUCCAUUAAUAAAACCAAAAUCAAAGAAGUAAAUUUCCCAUGAAUAAAACAAAAAAUGAAGAUCUAAAUUUUCCAUUAAUAAAGCCAAGUCAAGACUAAGUUUGUAUAAGUGUAAGAAGGGUAUAAAUGAAACUCACAAGAAAGCCACAUGAAGAAUUUUAUAACCCCAAACUACACGAUUUUAUGUCCACCUCUCACUUUUCAUAUUUUUUUGGCCAUUCGUUUUUCAAGAUUAACAUCAGCAUUCUUGUGGUCCGUUCAUCCUUUUCUAAUGAAUUUCCACCAAGAGUUUUAUUUUUCAAAAUGUUAAAUUAACUCAUGAUAUUAAUUAAAUCAAGAAAUUUUAUAAUAAUAGAGAUGAAAAAACUAAAUUUUCAAAAUCAAAACCUAAAAUGUGCAAGAAUAAAAGCAAACUGAAGACUUAAAAUCUCCAUUAAAAAAAUCAAAAUCAAAGAAGUAAAAUUUCCAUGAAUAAAACGAAAAAUGAAGACCUAAAAUUUCCAUUAAUAAAUCCAAGUCAAGACUAAGUUUGUAUAAGCGUAAGAAGGGUAUAAAUGAAACUCACAAGAAAGCCACAUUAAGAAUUUUAUAACCCCAACUACACGAUUUUAUGUCCACCUCUCACUUUUCAGUUUUUUUGGUCAUUAGUUAUUCUAAGAUUUAACAUCAACAUUUGAUUUCAAAUCAACGUUAAACCAUGUUUAAACUCUUUUUCUUAUAUAAUAAUUAUAUUAUAUUUAAAAUUGAAAAAACUAACCAGCCAAAUAUAUAUUAAUUAAUUAAUAGAAUUUUUUUUGCUCAUCGAUUAAAAUAAAUCAAGAAAGACGUUGGAACCACCAACCUCUCUUUAAGAACAACAGGAAUACAAGAACCUAUGCACAACAAGUACUAAAAUGUAUUAAGUAAAUUCAUCACCAGGCCUUAAAAAAAGAAGAUCUCGAUAUACCUGCUUUUGCCAAAGCAUCUGCCAUACCAUUACUUUGCCAGUGAAUAAUUCUGAACUGAAACUUAGCCAAUUGAGUGAUAUUAAUUAUAGAAAUGGUUCUUCUUGCAACCAUAGAUGAAACACCACUGAGACUAACAAACUUGGAGAAACUUGAUUAAAUCAAACUUAUGCAAAUUUCUUGAAUAUUUAAGUUAAGAGUUAACGUCAAAGUCAAGAGUUGAUAAGGAUUUUGUGGUCCAUUCAUAUCUUUAUUACAAUAUAUAUAUAUUCAAGAAAUUUGCAGCAAGUUGGAGUUUUGCAAUAAGGAAUUUCCACCAAGAGUUUUGGAAUAAGGAAUUUCCUCCAAGAAUUUUGCAGGAAUCAUAUCUCUAACAAAAGAAAGACCUUCAUUUGACUAAAUUUUUUAGUAUUUAUUUUAACUUCCAUUUUAUUAAAAAAAAACAGAGGUAAAAAAUAUGCCGAACAGGGUCUUUAGGUUACUUUUCUUAGAACUAUAUUAUGUUAUAGUACCGUAUAAGUUAGAGGAGCACAAGUUUAGAUUCAUCCAAUUUUUGAGGAAUUAAUUAAAUAUAUAUUAUUUUAAUAUUAUAGUAUACAGAGGCAAUGUUAGAAAAAAAUUUUGUGGAGUCGAAAUUAAAUUAUAGUUUUAAAAGCAUAUAUCUUUAUAAUUUUUAAAGAAUUAAAUCAAAUUUUUAUCAAUUUUAGGGGGUCAAUGUGCAAUUUUAUCUUUACUAAUUUAAAAUUUUAAAACAUUUAAAGGACCUAAAUAGGAAUUUUUCUAUUUUAGAGGCGUCUGAGACGCCUGUCUAGCUAUGCCCCUGAUAGUGAAUUAGUGGGAUGCCAUAGGUCCUGCUUGUAUAUAAAUAAGAAGGUUAGGCUUCUUCAGAUUAUAUACAUAUAGAAGUUAAAAAUUAACAGACAACUGAGAGAGAAGAGAAAACAGAAAGAUGAUGAUGAUGAUGAUGAUGAUGGAGUGGAAAUGGUUAUGGUUUAUUAGGAUGGCAGUAAUGUUGUUGGUGUUCGAAGGAUGCAGGUGGUGUACUAUUGAUGCUUGUUUGGAGCACGAGAGGAUUGCUCUCUUGCAUCUCAAACCUUUCUUCAAUUCUCGUGAUGAAUUGAAAAGUUGGGUUGAGGUGAAGGGUUCAGAUUGCUGUAAAUGGGAAAGAGUUGAGUGCAACACCACCACUAGGAGACUCAUACAACUUUCCCUUAAUUAUACACAAUGGGAAUUCAACGUGGAAUAUUGGUAUCUCAAUGCCUCUAUGUUUCUUCCCUUCGAGGAAUUGAGGAGUCUUUAUUUGUCAGAUAAUGCCAUAGCUGGUUGCAUUGAAAAUGAAGGUCGUGCCUUUAAUUUUCCCUCAGUUACAUCUUUUAUUAUUACACUAUUCUCACCCUUGUUAAUUUGCAAUUACUUAUAAUUUAUUUUAUUUUAUUGAAGAAAGGUCACUAAAUGUUUGUGUAUAUAUUUAAAAGAACACUCUUACAGGUUUUGGAAAGCUAUCAUCCACAUUGAGUAAUUUGGAGAUUCUUGACUUAAGUUACAAUUACUUGAAUGAUAGCAUUUUGUUAUCUUUGAGUGAGCUUUCAUCUCUCCGAUAUUUGGAUCUAUCAUACAACCGAUUUGAAAGAUCAAGUCAUCCAAGAGGUAAAUUAAGUUUAGUCUGGUGUUAGUUUUUAUUUGUAUUGGGGAGUUUGACAGUGGUUUUCCAUUGUUUUAUUCCCUCUAACUUAGUUUUUGCUUUUAUGGUUGAGAGGAAAAAGAAACAAACAAGUACUUACUCAAAUUAACUAAACAAUGGAUUAUUUUUUUUAUGUUUUGCAGUAACUAAUUCUAUGGUAUAUAAAUCAGGUUUUCAGUGGCUUUCAAGGCUCACUAAAUUGGAAACUCUUCAUCUAAGUGGGAAUUCUUUGAAGAAUAGCAUUUUUUUACAGAUGAGAAAUCUUUCAUCUUUGAAGACUUUAAGUUUGGGUGACAAUCAGUUGGGAGGAAAACUGCUUCAUAUUCAAGGUAGACUGAUUUUACACUUUUCUUGUUAACUUUAAAAUAAAUUCAGUAUGUGAUUUGAUUUUAUCAUAUCAUGAAUAUAACUGAUCAAUAUUUGAGAUUGAAUUUCAGAAUUGAAUCAUUUGGCAAACUUGAAGUACUUGGAUUUAAGUAGGAACAGAAUUGAAAGCAUCUCAAACAAAGGUAUAAGUAAUAAUUUGUGCAUGACUUUCCUGACAGACUUCAAAUGUAUUUUCUUUGUUUUUUUCCUUUUCAUAUGGUUGAGAGGAAAAAAGAUCCUUAUAAUCUUAAAGAGUUGAUAUUGAGAGUUGGUCAUGAGAGAAUGGGUCCUUAAAAUCCUUAAGACCAGGGAGUUUGUGUCCACAGUUGAGUAUUCCAUUUGAAAACUGAAAAUUAAAUAUUCUAUUGCUUUAUUUCUUUUAAAAGAAAGAUUGAGUUUGGAUCUCCGACUGCUUUAUUUUUUUCAAAGAAAGAAAUAUGUUUAUACUUUUGCGCAGAAGAUAUGAAGAAGUCUUAUUUUGUUCUCGCUUUUGUGCAAGUGAAACUUAGUUAUCUCAAAUAUAUAUAUAUAUAUAUAUAUUGUAGUUAUCAGUUCACUACACAAUAGCAUGUAAACCAGUUCCCCCUUUUCAAAUUUAUGAGUGGGAGUUGUCCAUGAUUUUCUUUGUGAUUUUCUUUUCACGUUUUAGGAUUUUCAUCUUCACUUCAAGUUUUAGAUUUACUUUUUUUCAUUUUUAUUUCAUUAACUUAAAAAAGGAAUGCUGGAUCAUAUUCAAGGUAGAUUGAUUUUACAUGUUUCUUUUUAACUUAAAAAAUCAAUAUAUGUUCAAGUUUAAGUGACAACAACAUUGAAAGCAUCUCAAACCAAGGUAUAAGUAUUUGUGCGUAGUAACUUUCUUGACUGACUAUUAUUCCAAAAGGCAAUGACAGACUUCAAAUGUAUUUUCUUUAGUGAAUUUUUAUUGCAAAAAUGGAGUAUUAUUAUUUAUUUAAGUUUUGUAGUAACUAAUUAUAUAAUAUAUAAAUGAGGUUUUCAAUGGCUCAUUAAAUUGGAAAUUAUUGAUAUAAGUUGGAAUUAUUUGAAGAAUAGCAUUCUUUAAAAUAAAUUCAUGUUGAAGGAAAAGUUGUUGCAAUAAGUCAUUUGAUUUUAUCAUAUCAUGAAUAUAUAUAACUAAUCAAUAUUUGGGAUUGAAUUUCAAAAUUGAGUAAUUUAAGUAGGAAGGUAUCUCAAACAAAGUAUUUAUAUAUUGAAUCAAUUCAUCGGAAAGCUUGUAAAUUGGCUCUUCCUUCUCAAACAAACAUUUUUCCUAACUAUUUAUAUAUUGAAUGAUGUUAACUAUACUAAUUACUUUCUUCCAAUGAUAGAUGGAACACAAUUGAGGCUAACAAACUUAGAGGAACUUGAUUUGAGUGGUAAUCUCUUUCGGAACAACACAAUUUCCUUUCCUCAAGGGCUUUCAAGCCUAAAGUCUUUGACUUUGUACAACAACCAUUUGCAAGGCUCAUUAGAUACUAAAGGUACUAAAGCUAUAACUUUGUUUUUCUUGAUAAUUCUUUCUAGAACCUUUUAAAAUUAAUUGUUUCAAUUUUGAACAUUCACAUUUCACGUUUGAGGAUUUUCAUCUUCACUUCAAGUUUUAGAUUUACUUUUUUUUUCAUUUUUAUUUCAUUAAAAUAUUAAGUAGAAAUUAAAAUUAUUAACAUAAUGAUUUUUUGAAUUGGACGUGGAUAUGUAUAGGAUUGAGCAAUUUAACAAAUUUGAAGAAACUCGAUUUAAGUGUGAAUCAGAUUGAAAGCUUUCAAUCCUUUAAAGGUAUGCAUUUAUAUUUAACCAAUUACCUAAAUUCUUACAUAUAAUUAAAUUUUAUGCCAAUUCAUUUCAGUGAUGAAAUUAUAUAAAUCUUUUGUAGAUGGUGGUAGAAAAUUGGAGUUGACCCACUUGGAAGAGCUUUAUUUAGAUUACAAUCAGUUCAAUACUAGUGUAUUUGCAUCCCUUAACAAGCUUUCAAAUUUGAAAUCUUUGAGCAUAUGGGACAAUGGAUUGAAAGGAUCAAUAGAUAUGAAAGGUAAAUAUAUUAGUUUUUUUAACUAGAAUAUAAUCAUGUUUGAAGAGAAUAUAAUGAAGUUGAUUUGUUGUUUUUGUUUUCCUAGAUUUGGAAGCAUUUAUCAACUUAAGGGAACUAGAUAUGAACUAUAAUGAAUUGAAAGAUUUGGUGAUCCACCAAGGUAUCAUUUAAUUAAACUUCCUUUUUUUUUUAAUUUAGAAAUUUAGUUUUGAUCUCAUAUAUUAUAAUAACGGUUAUUGUCAUAAAUAUUAAUAAAGUUAUAUCAUAUCAUACUUGAAAGUAAAAGUUUGGUGAAACAUUUUCUAAAUCAUCCAUUAUAAUGUGUUUGGACUUUGGUUUGAAACUAAAAUUCUUUAAAAUUUUCAUCAUUUUAAAAUAUUAAUGUUUAUAAUUAUUUUGUUUGUAUAAAUAUAUUUUUUAAAAUAAUUUAUUGAAUUUUUAUGAGAUAAAAAAUAAUUAUAACAAUAAAAAAUGAUAUUAUAAAUAAAUAAAAACAUAUAUUUAUGAGAAAAUAUGUAAUAUAACUAUAUUUUAAUUUCAUAUAUUUUUAAUAGUAUAAAACAUAAAAAUACAUAUUAGCGUUAAAUAAAUGGCAUUUUUUGGCAAAAAUAAAUAAAUGUCAAUUUUGAAUAAUUUAAAAAAAAUCUUUAAUUUUGUGAAAUUUAAACAUACAUUGAGAGGUGCUUAAACUUCCAUUGCAAUCUUUUUAUAAAUUUCAAAGUGCAUAUGUUUUUAACUUUUUGGUUUAAAAAAAUAUGAUAGGUCUACGUACUCUUUACUAAUUUGUAAUUUAAUUCUUAUACUUUUAUUUUCAAGAAUUUAAUCCCUGUUUUUUUAUAAAAAAAUCAAAAUCCUAGUUCAAUUGUUAAAAUUGUUAAAAUUUUAAAAUAGUUUGUUGGUGUGACAUUUUGAAAUAAAAAAAAACUUAGUAGUAAUGUAACUAAAAAAUGACGUAAUGAACAUGGAUUUAAUAAAAUAAUUUUAACAAUAUUAAUAAAAUAAUUUUGAAUUUUGAAUUUUAACUUAACUCUAUUUUUGGGCCAAGAUUUAAUGCUUUAAAAUUUUCAUUUAAUCCGCUGAGUUUACUUAUAAUUCUUUUGAGUUUUAUUUAUUGGUGAGUAAAAUACCUAUUUGAUUUUUUUAUAUACUAUUGGCAUCUUUAAAGGUAAUAUAAUAAUUUUAGUGUAGACGUGUUUUAUUUUAUAAAUAUUAUUUAUAGUGUAGACAUGUGAAUUUUGAAUAAUUUAAAAAUAUCUUCAAUUUUAUGAAAUUUAAACAUACAUUUAGUGUAGACAUGUUUUAUUUUAUAAAUAUUAUUUAUAGUGUUGUUGAUUGGAGUUUGAAAAUUAUACAACUUAGCUAUAUCAGUUAAUUACUUAUAUUAAAAAAUAAUAUAAGAAAAUACUAAAAAGAAAAAAAAUAGUAUAAUUAAUAAAAUGGAUGAAGAGUUAUAUUAAAGUUUCAACAUCUUCUCUCUAUCAAAAUUUAUCUCGGAUAAAUCAUGAAUAAUCUAACUCAUAAAAAAAUAUAUAUAUAUUUAUAUACUUCAUUUCAUUCACAGAAAAUAAAGCAUUCCACUUAAUAGAGGCUUUCUAUAAUGCCGUUAUCUAAUACCUCUUGACAUUGCUUAGAUUCAAAUGUGUCGAGCAGUUUGGAGGAAAUAUAUCUUGACUAUUCUACUCUCAACACCAACAUUUUGCAAAGCAUUGGAGUAUUCGCUUCUCUUAAAAUAUUGUCUUUAUCUAAUUGUGGACUUAUUGGUCCCUUACCUAAUCAAGGUAAACAAUUUUAUGGCUCAAUUUGAUUUCUUUAUGAACUUUCUGUAAUAUAUUAUCUCCUAUUCUGUUUUAUAAAGCAAAAUUUAAUUGAAACUUCUUCCAUGAAUUUAUUUAUAAAAUUUUCAGGAUGGUGUGAUCUAAGGAACCUUGAAGUGUUGGAUGUGAGUAGAAAUGCACUUGAGGGGAUGCUUCCUCAUUGUUUUAGUAACUUGACAUCUCUUCGUGAGUUAGAUAUUUCAAGAAACCAUUUUCAAAUUCCGCUGUCAUUUGCACCAUUUGCAAACCUUUCAAACCUCAAAGCCCUUUUGAUUAAUGAAAACAAGAUGGUAAUGGAACCUUCCUUUUAUACCUCAAUCCCAAAGUUCCAAUUGGAAGUCAUCAGUUUGUCAAAGUGCAUAACAUCUCAACAACUCAGUCUUAAACUUUGUACCUUCCUUUACUACCAAUAUGACUUGAGAUAUGUGGAUCUUUCGCAUAACAAUCUCAGUGGAACUGUACCAACUUGGUUGCUAGAAAACAACACAAAGUUAGAAGAUCUCAUCUUGAAGGGUAAUUCAUUUACAGGUCCUCUCUCACUUUCGUCGGCUCUUAUUUCUAAUGUAUCUACAAUUGACAUAUCUGAAAACAAAUUACAAGGUCAAAUUCCAACUGGUAUAUGUUCAACUUUUCCACAUUUGAGGCAGUUAUUCUUAUCCAAGAAUGCUUUUGAAGGUAAUAUCCCACUUUGUUUAAGUGGCAUGAAGGACUUAUCAUUUUUAGAUCUAUCAGACAAUCAUUUGUAUGGAAAAGUACCAGAAGAGUUGAUCACGAAAGGCUUACUAAUCAUUUUGAGACUAUCAAAUAACAACCUCAGUGGAAAUGUAGUUCCUGUGAUUCUCAGCGCAAAUGGGGUGCAGCAUUUAUAUUUGGAUGGAAAUAAUUUUUCAGGAGAGAUGACAAAUGUUGAUGUGUCUACUUUUGAGUUUCCAAAUUCACUAAGCGAAAUUGAUCUCAGUAACAACACUUUGCAUGGAAAGCUCCCAAGAUGGAUAGGGAAUGCAUCAUUUUUGGGGAGAUUAGAUUUGUCCAACAAUGGUUUUGAAGGUUCUAUUCCAAUGGAAUUUUGCAAGUUGAAUAGGUUGGAAUUUUUGGAUCUUUCUCAAAAUAAUUUAUCUGGCUCUAUACCGUCAUGUUUUAAUCCACCAUACAUACAGCAUGUCCACCUCCACGGGAAUAGACUGAGAGGCCCACUAUCACUUGCUUUUUAUAAUAGCUCUUCAAUAGUGACUUUAGAUCUUGGAGGAAACAAUUUGACGGGUAGUAUUCCAAAAUGGAUUUACACGCUUUCUUCUUUGAGUUUUUUUCUCUUGAAAGAUAAUCAUUUUCAUGGUAAAGUUCCUAUUGAGUUAUGCAAGUUGCAUUCUUUAAGCAUCAUAGAUCUUUCUCAAAAUAUGUUUUCUGGUCCUAUACCUUCUUGUUUGGGAAAUUUAUCUCUUCCAAUGCAAAGGAAGAAGAUUCUAGAACCUGGUUUCUAUGGGCCACCUAUAGAAGAGGAUGAAACAACACGCAGUACGAAACUAAAUUUGGGAAUGUAUUCUUACUAUCCUAAUAGCUACUUCGAAGAAGUAAUAGAGUUCACAACAAAGAGUGGGUUCUAUUCAUACAAGGGCUACAUCCUUUCAUAUAUGAAUGGGAUUGAUUUAUCUUGCAACAACUUAACUGGUCAUAUCCCACCAGAAUUAGGGAACUUGAGUGAAAUCCAUUCUUUAAACCUUUCACACAAUAAGUUGACCGGAGUUAUACCCUCGUCACUCUCAAAACUACAUCAAAUUGAGAGUUUGGACCUUUCUUACAACAACUUAAGUGGUGAAAUCCCCAAUCAAUUGGUAGAGUUAAACUCUUUGGAGGUUUUCAGCGUGGCAUUUAACAACUUGUCAGGUAGUAUUCCCGAACCAAAAGCUCAAUUUGGGACCUUUAUUGAAAAUAGUUAUCAGGGAAAUCCGUUUCUUUGUGGAGUUAUAUUGCAUAAAAGUUGUUCCAAAACCGAUUCACCAUCAACGAUAUCAAUUGUAUCAGAAGAUAAAGGAGAAGAUGGUUUGAUAGAUACUUAU
rnacentral:lncRNA from 1 species